rnacentral:rRNA from 1 species
UACGAAGGGGGCUAGCGUUGCUCGGAAUUACUGGGCGUAAAGGGCGCGUAGGCGGCGCUGCAAGUCAGGCGUGAAAUUCCUGGGCUUAACCUGGGGGCUGCGCUUGAGACUGUGGUGCUAGAGGACGGAAGAGGGUCGUGGAAUUCCCAGUGUAGAGGUGAAAUUCGUAGAUAUUGGGAGGAACACCAGUGGCGAAGGCGGCGACCUGGGUCGAUACUGACGCUGAGGUGCGAAAGCGUGGGGAGCAAACGGG